GACGAACGCUGGCGGCGUGCUUAACACAUGCAAGUCGAACGGAAAGGCCCUGCUUUUGUGGGGUGCUCGAGUGGCGAACGCGUGAGUAACACGUGAGUAACCUGCCCUUGACUUUGGGAUAACUUCAGGAAACUGGGGCUAUUACCGGAUAUGAGCUCUUGCUGCAUGGUGGGGGUUGGAAAGUUUCGGCGGUUGGGGAUGGACUGGAGGCUUAUCAGCGUGUUGGUGGGGUAGUGGGUUACCAGGGCUUUGACGGGUGGCCGGCCUGGGAGGGUGACCGGCCACAUUGGGCCUGAGGUAGGAGCAAGACUGCUACGGGAGGCAGCAGUGGAGAAUAUUGCAAAAUGGGCGGAAGCAGGAUGCAGCAACGCCGCGUGCGGGAUGACGGCCUUCGGGUUGUAAACCGCUUUCGCCUGUGACGAAGCGUGAGUGACGGUAAUGGGUAAAGAAGCACCGGCUAACUACGUG
rnacentral:rRNA from 1 species